UCAAUUUCUCAAAUUAUAAGAUGACAUUGAUAUUGAUUAUUGGUAUGAGUUGGAAAGCAAAGAUGUGUGAUAAAGGUUUGUUGUGAAGAGAUAGUGAUGUUCCUUGAUAUUGUUUGACAUUUCUUGACAUUCCUUGAUACCCUUUCAUCUACCUUGAUAUCCCUUAGUGUUCUUUGAUAUUGUUGAUAUUCCUUGAUAUUCUCUGGUAUUCCUUAACAUUUCUUCAAUUUGAUUGGGAUGAACAACCCUAUUUAUAGGGGACACAAGGUAUACCUGUCUGUGUGAUAGGAGUUGGAUGGGACGCCA
rnacentral:lncRNA from 1 species